ncrna:unclassified sequences chrB RNA
AGCAUGGGGACCCGCGACCUCCCCACGAGGCGACAUGCCGAAGUAUCGCGUCUUGCUCUUCGCGAGGCGCUUUAGUAUG